rnacentral:rRNA from 1 species
UAUAGCGCAAAGCUAGUUGCAUUUAACUUAGCUAAAUCUAAGUUGAUGCAAGAUUGACUGUAUCGAAUAAAGUUCUAGGUGGGUUAUGAUGAUGACAUUUCCUAUCUAUGUGUCUUGACCAAAUUACGUGCCAGCAGUCGCGGUAAUACGUAAAAGACUAGUGUUAUUCAUCUUUAAUAGGUUUAAAGGGUACCUAGACGGUAAAUCAAGUCCGAGAAGGAUACUAAUUUGACUAGAGUUUAAUGUGAGGGGGCACUAAAGUACUGAUAAGUGUAGAGAUGAAAUUCUGUGAUACAAUAUACGGCACUGGCAAAGGCGAAAGCAUCUCAUUAUGUAAUAACUGACGUUGAGGGACGAAGGCAUGGUUAGCAAAAAGGAUUAGAUACCCAAGUAGUCUUAGCAGAAAAUUAUGAAUGUCAUAGGAUGGAAAGUUGCAUGGACAAAAAACAAAUUUUAAACAAAUUUGUUGUUCAACAAAUUUUUUUUUUUCUAUAAAUGAAAGUGUAAGCAUUCCACCUCGAGAGUAAUUUGGCAACAUUGGAACUGAAAUCAUUAGACCGUUUCUGAAACAAGUAGUGAAGUAUGUUGUUUAAUUUGAUGGUCCGCAAAAAACCUUACCACAAUUUGAAUAGAAAAAUUUUUUUUCAUACAAGCGCUGCACGGUUGUCUUCAGUUAAUGUCGUGAGAUCUUGGUUAGUUCCAUUAAAUUAACGUAAACCCUUACUUUAUUUUUAUAUAGAGUAGUUCACCGCUAGAUUGGAUGAGAUAACA